CCUGACUGCUAUCGGAUUGAUACUAAGCCAUGCGAGUCAUUGUAGCAAUACAAGGCAGACGGCUCAGUAACGCGUAGUCAACCUAACCUAUGGGCGGGAAUAACCUCGGGAAACUGAGAAUAAUGCCCGAUAGAACACUAUAUCUGGAAUGGUUUGUGUUCCAAAUGAUUUAUCGCCGUAGGAUGGGACUGCGGCCUAUCAGUUUGUUGGUGAGGUUAUGGCCCACCAAGACUAUUACAGGUACGGGCUCUGAGAGGAGUAGCCCGGAGAUGGGUACUGAGACACGGACCCAGGCCCUAUGGGGCGCAGCAGGCGAGAAAACUUUGCAAUGUGCGAAAGCACGACAAGGUUAAUCCGAGUGAUUUGUGCUAAACGAAUCUUUUGUUAGUUCUAGAAAUACUAACGAAUAAGGGGUGGGCAAGUUCUGGUGUCAGCCGCCGCGGUAAAACCAGCACCUCAAGUGGUCAGGAUGAUUAUUGGGCCUAAAGCAUCCGUAGCCGGAUCUGACAGUUUUCGGUUAAAUCUGUAUGCUCAACAUACAGGCUGCCGGGAAUACUGCAGAUCUAGGGAGUGGGAGAGGUAGACGGUACUCGGUAGGAAGGGGUAAAAUCCUUUGAUCUAUUGAUGACCACCUGUGGCGAAGGCGGUCUACCAGAACACGUCCGACGGUGAGGGAUGAAAGCUGGGGGAGCAAACCGGAUUAGAUACCCGGGUAGUCCCAGCUGUAAACUAUGCAAACUCAGUGAUGCAUUGACUUGUGGUCAAUGCAGUGCUGCAGGGAAGCCGUUAAGUUUGCCGCCUGGGAAGUACGUACGCAAGUAUGAAACUUAAAGGAAUUGGCGGGGGAGCACCAGAAGGGGUGAAGCCUGCGGUUC
rnacentral:rRNA from 1 species